rnacentral:piRNA from 1 species
UAACAGGAGUUCUGGGAGUGACCUAC